CCUACGGGCGGCAGCAGUAGGGAAUCUUCCACAAUGGGCGAAAGCCUGACGGAGCAACGCCGCGUGGGUGAAGAAGGUCUUCGGAUCGUAAAACUCUGUUGUUAGAGAAGAACGUGCGUGAGUGUAACUGUUCAAGUUUCGACGGUACCUAACCAGAACGCCCCGGCUAACUACGUGCCAGCAGCCGCGGUAAUACGUAGGUGGCAAGCGUUAGCCGGAUUUAUUGGGCGUAAAGGGAACGCAGGCGGUCUUUCAAGUCAGAUGUGAAAGCCUUCGGCUUAACCGGGGUAGUGCAUUGGAAACUGGGAGACUUGAGUGCAGAAGAGGAGAGUGGAACUCCAAGUGUAGCGGUGAAAUGCGUAGAUAUAUGGAAGAACACCAGUGGCGAAGGCGGCUCUCUGG
rnacentral:rRNA from 1 species